AGAGUGUGUGUGUGUGUGUGUGUGUAGAGGGUGUGCUUUAAAAGUUCCUGGCUUUCGGUAAAAGAAAAUACAGGAAGAUCAGUUGAUCAUGGUUUUUUUCAACAUAUUCCCGUCUCAGAUUCGCACACUUAUUGCAACGGUCCUUCAUAUUUUUUAACCUCUG